rnacentral:rRNA from 1 species
GAUGAACGCUGGCGGCGUGCCUAAUACAUGCAAGUCGAGCGAACGGACGAGAAGCUUGCUUCUCUGAUGUUAGCGGCGGACGGGUGAGUAACACGUGGAUAACCUACCUAUAAGACUGGGAUAACUUCGGGAAACCGGAGCUAAUACCGGAUAAUAUUUUGAACCGCAUGGUUCAAAGGUGAAAGACGGUCUUGCUGUCACUUAUAGAUGGAUCCGUGCUGCAUUAGCUAGUUGGUAAGGUAACGGCUUACCAAGGCAACGAUGCAUAGCCGACCUGAGAGGGUGAUCGGCCACACUGGAACUGAGACACGGUCCAGACUCCUACGGGAGGCAGCAGUAGGGAAUCUUCCGCAAUGGGCGAAAGCCUGACGGAGCAACGCCGCGUGAGUGAUGAAGGUCUUCGGAUCGUAAAACUCUGUUAUUAGGGAAGAACAUAUGUGUAAGUAACUGUGCACAUCUUGACGGUACCUAAUCAGAAAGCCACGGCUAACUACGUG